AUGAACGCUGGCGGCGUGCCUAAUACAUGCAAGUCGAGCGAACUGAUUAGAAGCUUGCUUCUAUGACGUUAGCGGCGGACGGGUGAGUAACACGUGGGCAACCUGCCUGUAAGACUGGGAUAACUUCGGGAAACCGAAGCUAUACCGGAUAGGAUCUUCUCCUUCAUGGGAGAUGAUUGAAAGAUGGUUUCGGCUAUCACUUACAGAUGGGCCCGCGGUCAUUAGCUAGUUGGUGAUGGUAACGGCUCACCAAGGCAACGAUGCAUAGCCGACCUGAAGGGUGAUCGGCCACACUGGACUGAGACACGGCCCAGACUCCUACGGUAGGCAGCAGUAGGGAAUCUUCCGCAAUGGACGAAAGUCUGACGGAGCAACGCCGCGUGAGUGAUGAAGGCUUUCGGGUCGUAACUCUGUUGUUAGGGAAGAACAAGUACAAGAGUAACUGCUUGUACCUUGACGGUACCUAACCAGAAAGCCACGGCUAACUACGUGCCAGCAGCCGCGGUAAUACGUAGGUGGCAAGCGUAUCCGGAAUUAUUGGGCGUAAAGCGCGCGCAGGCGGUUUCUUAGUCUGAUGUGAAAGCCCACGGCUCAACCGUGGAGGGUCAUUGGAAACCUGGGGAACUGAGUGCAGAAGAGAAAAGCGGAAUUCCACGUGUAGCGGUGAAAUGCGUAGAGAUGUGGAGGAACACCAGUGGCGAAGGCGGAUUUUUGGUCUGUAACUGACGCUGAGGCGCGAAAGCGUGGGGACAAACUAGGAUUAGAUACCCUGGUGUCCCACGCUCGGUCAACGAUGAGUUAGCUAAGUGUUAGAGGGUUUCCUCCGCCCUUAGUGCUAGCAGCUAACGCAUAAGCACCGCCUGGGGAGUACGUGUCGCAGACUGAACUCAAUCGGAAUUGACGGGGGCCCGCACAAGCGGUUGGAGCAGUGGGUUUAAUCGAAUAAGCAAACGCGAAGAACCUUACAGGUCUGACAUCCUCCUGACAACUAUAGAGAUAGAUGCCUUCCCCUUCGGGGCGACUAGGUGACAGCCGUGGUGCAUGGUUGUACGUCAGCUCGGGUCGUGACGAUGUAUUGGGUUACGUUCCUCGCAACGUAGACGCAACCCUUGAUCUUAGGUUGCCAGCAUUUAGUUGGGCAAUCUAAGGUGACUGCCCUGGUGACAAACCGGAGGAAGGUGGGUGAUGACCGUCAAUCAUGCAUGCCCCUUAGGACCGGGGCUAACACGUGCUACAAUGGUAUGGUACAAAAGGCUAUGCAACCGCGAGGUCAGCUCAAUCCCAUAAUAAACAUUCUCAAGUUCGGAUGUAGGCUGCAACGAUCGCCUACCUGAUAGCUGGAAUCGAUAGUUAAUCGCAGGUAUCAGCAUGCCGCGGUGCAUACGUUACCCGGCCUUGUCACACCGCCCGUCACACGAAGAGAGUUUGUAACACCCGAAGUCGGUUGGAUGUAACCGUAAGGAGCUAGCCGCCUAAUGUGGGACCAGAUGAUUGGGGUG
rnacentral:rRNA from 1 species